rnacentral:rRNA from 1 species
UGGGGAAUCUUGGACAAUGGGCGCAAGCCUGAUCCAGCCAUGCCGCGUGAGUGAAGAAGGCCCUAGGGUUGUAAAGCUCUUUCGGUCGUGAAGAUAAUGACGGUAGCGACAGAAGAAGCCCCGGCUAACUCCGUGCCAGCAGCCGCGGUAAUACGGAGGGGGCUAGCGUUGUUCGGGAUUACUGGGCGUAAAGCGCGCGUAGGCGGAUAUUCAAGUCAGGGGUGAAAGCCCGGUGCUCAACGCCGGAAUUGCCUUUGAUACUGGAUGUCUUGAGUUCGGGAGAGGAGAGUGGAAUUCCCAGUGUAGAGGUGAAAUUCGUAGAUAUUGGGAAGAACACCGGUGGCGAAGGCGGCUCUCUGGCCCGGAACUGACGCUGAGGUGCGACAGCGUGGGGAGCAAACAGGAUUAGAUACCCCCGUAGUCCA